rnacentral:rRNA from 1 species
GGUCAAGUGAAGAAGCGCAUACGGUGGAUGCCUUGGCAGUCAGAGGCGAUGAAAGACGUGGUAGCCUGCGAUAAGCUUCGGGGAGUCGGCAAACAGACUUUGAUCCGGAGAUCUCUGAAUGGGGGAACCCACCUAGGAUAACCUAGGUAUCUUGUACUGAAUCCAUAGGUGCAAGAGGCGAACCAGGGGAACUGAAACAUCUAAGUACCCUGAGGAAAAGAAAUCAACCGAGAUUCCCUUAGUAGUGGCGAGCGAACGGGGAUUAGCCCUUAAGCUUCAUUGAUUUUAGCGGAACGCUCUGGAAAGUGCGGCCAUAGUGGGUGAUAGCCCCGUACGCGAAAGGAUCUUUGAAGUGAAAUCGAGUAGGACGGAGCACGAGAAACUUUGUCUGAACAUGGGGGGACCAUCCUCCAAGGCUAAAUACUACUGACUGACCGAUAGUGAACCAGUACCGUGAGGGAAAGGCGAAAAGAACCCCGGAGAGGGGAGUGAAAUAGAACCUGAAACCGUAUGCGUACAAGCAGUGGGAGCCUACUUGUUAGGUGACUGCGUACCUUUUGUAUAAUGGGUCAGCGACUUAUAUUCAGUGGCGAGCUUAACCGAAUAGGGUAGGCGUAGCGAAAGCGAGUCUUAAUAGGGCGUUUAGUCGCUGGGUAUAGACCCGAAACCGGGCGAUCUAUCCAUGAGCAGGUUGAAGGUUAGGUAACACUGACUGGAGGACCGAACCCACUCCCGUUGAAAAGGUAGGGGAUGACUUGUGGAUCGGAGUGAAAGGCUAAUCAAGCUCGGAGAUAGCUGGUUCUCCUCGAAAGCUAUUUAGGUAGCGCCUCAUGUAUCACUCUGGGGGGUAGAGCACUGUUUCGGCUAGGGGGUCAUCCCGACUUACCAAACCGAUGCAAACUCCGAAUACCCAGAAGUGCCGAGCAUGGGAGACACACGGCGGGUGCUAACGUCCGUCGUGAAAAGGGAAACAACCCAGACCGCCAGCUAAGGUCCCAAAGUUGUGGUUAAGUGGUAAACGAUGUGGGAAGGCUUAGACAGCUAGGAGGUUGGCUUAGAAGCAGCCAUCCUUUAAAGAAAGCGUAAUAGCUCACUAGUCGAGUCGGCCUGCGCGGAAGAUGUAACGGGGCUCAAACCACACACCGAAGCUGCGGGUGUCACGUAAGUGACGCGGUAGAGGAGCGUUCUGUAAGCCUGUGAAGGUGAGUUGAGAAGCUUGCUGGAGGUAUCAGAAGUGCGAAUGCUGACAUGAGUAACGACAAUGGGUGUGAAAAACACCCACGCCGAAAGACCAAGGGUUCCUGCGCAACGUUAAUCGACGCAGGGUUAGUCGGUUCCUAAGGCGAGGCUGAAAAGCGUAGUCGAUGGGAAACAGGUUAAUAUUCCUGUACUUCUGGUUACUGCGAUGGAGGGACGGAGAAGGCUAGGCCAGCUUGGCGUUGGUUGUCCAAGUUUAAGGUGGUAGGCUGAAAUCUUAGGUAAAUCCGGGGUUUCAAGGCCGAGAGCUGAUGACGAGUCGUCUUUUAGAUGACGAAGUGGUUGAUGCCAUGCUUCCAAGAAAAGCUUCUAAGCUUCAGGUAACCAGGAACCGUACCCCAAACCGACACAGGUGGUCGGGUAGAGAAUACCAAGGCGCUUGAGAGAACUCGGGUGAAGGAACUAGGCAAAAUGGCACCGUAACUUCGGGAGAAGGUGCGCCGGCUAGGGUGAAGGAUUUACUCCGUAAGCUCUGGCUGGUCGAAGAUACCAGGCCGCUGCGACUGUUUAUUAAAAACACAGCACUCUGCAAACACGAAAGUGGACGUAUAGGGUGUGACGCCUGCCCGGUGCCGGAAGGUUAAUUGAUGGGGUUAGCGCAAGCGAAGCUCUUGAUCGAAGCCCCGGUAAACGGCGGCCGUAACUAUAACGGUCCUAAGGUAGCGAAAUUCCUUGUCGGGUAAGUUCCGACCUGCACGAAUGGCGUAACGAUGGCGGCGCUGUCUCCACCCGAGACUCAGUGAAAUUGAAAUCGCUGUGAAGAUGCAGUGUAUCCGCGGCUAGACGGAAAGACCCCGUGAACCUUUACUGUAGCUUUGCACUGGACUUUGAGCCUGCUUGUGUAGGAUAGGUGGGAGGCUUUGAAGCGUGGACGCCAGUUCGCGUGGAGCCAUCCUUGAAAUACCACCCUGGCAUGCUUGAGGUUCUAACUCUGGUCCGUAAUCCGGAUCGAGGACAGUGUAUGGUGGGCAGUUUGACUGGGGCGGUCUCCUCCUAAAGAGUAACGGAGGAGUACGAAGGUGCGCUCAGACCGGUCGGAAAUCGGUCGCAGAGUAUAAAGGCAAAAGCGCGCUUGACUGCGAGACAGACACGUCGAGCAGGUACGAAAGUAGGUCUUAGUGAUCCGGUGGUUCUGUAUGGAAGGGCCAUCGCUCAACGGAUAAAAGGUACUCCGGGGAUAACAGGCUGAUACCGCCCAAGAGUUCAUAUCGACGGCGGUGUUUGGCACCUCGAUGUCGGCUCAUCACAUCCUGGGGCUGAAGCCGGUCCCAAGGGUAUGGCUGUUCGCCAUUUAAAGUGGUACGCGAGCUGGGUUUAGAACGUCGUGAGACAGUUCGGUCCCUAUCUGCCGUGGACGUUUGAGAUUUGAGAGGGGCUGCUCCUAGUACGAGAGGACCGGAGUGGACGAACCUCUGGUGUUCCGGUUGUCACGCCAGUGGCAUUGCCGGGUAGCUAUGUUCGGAAAAGAUAACCGCUGAAAGCAUCUAAGCGGGAAACUUGCCUCAAGAUGAGAUCUCACUGGGAACUUGAUUCCCCUGAAGGGCCGUCGAAGACUACGACGUUGAUAGGCUGGGUGUGUAAGCGUUGUGAGGCGUUGAGCUAACCAGUACUAAUUGCCCGUGAGGCUUGACCAU